CUAAUACAUGCAAGUCGAGCGGACUGAUGGGAGCUUGCUCCCUGAUGUUAGCGGCGGACGGGUGAGUAACACGUGGGCAACCUACCUGUAAGACUGGGAUAACUCCGGGAAACCGGGGCUAAUACCGGAUAACCCGUUCCUCCUCAUGGAGGGACGGUAAAAGAUGGCUUCUUGCUAUCACUUACAGAUGGGCCCGCGGCGCAUUAGCUAGUUGGUAAGGUAAUGGCUUACCAAGGCGACGAUGCGUAGCCGACCUGAGAGGGUGAUCGGCCACACUGGGACUGAGACACGGCCCAGACUCCUACGGGAGGCAGCAGUAGGGAAUCUUCCGCAAUGGACGAAAGUCUGACGGAGCAACGCCGCGUGAGUGAUGAAGGUUUUCGGAUCGUAAAGCUCUGUUGUUAGGGAAGAACAAGUGCCGUUCGAAUAGGGCGGCACCUUGACGGUACCUAACCAGAAAGCCACGGCUAACUACGUGCCAGCAGCCGCGGUAAUACGUAGGUGGCAAGCGUUGUCCGGAAUUAUUGGGCGUAAAGCGCGNGCAGGCGGUCUUUUAAGUCUGAUGUGAAAGCCCACGGCUCAACCGUGGAGGGUCAUUGGAAACUGGGAGACUUGAGUACAGAAGAGGAGAGUGGAAUUCCACGUGUAGCGGUGAAAUGCGUAGAUAU
rnacentral:rRNA from 1 species